CUUUCCUCUUUCGUGUGUUUCAUCUGCAGAAAAGCCGCUGCUAGUGCUUCCUUUUUCCAUUUGAAGGCUGAUUUUUAAAGCUGUCAGAAGAGUAUGACUAUACUUAUUUCAUAUUCAAGACAUGCACAAUGUAAGAGUUUGUACUCACUGUAUAUUCCUCCAAGUUGAUUCACUGCAUCAACAAAGCGCCCGUGAACCUGUACUGUCCAUUUAAACCUGGGUUUCCGAACACCUGACAAUGACUGCUUAACUUCUUGGCCAUUCUUUUCAUUCUUGGUUUCAUUUCUUCCUGGAGUGCUCAUCAUACUGGAGCUUAUGCCUUUUAAUCACC